rnacentral:lncRNA from 10 species
CCAGCCUGUGAGACAGAGUGAAACCCUGUCCAAAAACAAACAAGAACAAAAUACCAAAAUAAACUGAGGACUUUGCCUUUCGAUAUUUUACUCUGUUUCCUCCAUCAUCAGUCUUCCUGUUUUGUAACUUGCUUCUUGAUUGCCUUAUUUCUUCUCUUCUUCCUCCCAUUUUCUUCUUUUUCCCUCCCACUUAAAACAUUACAAAUAGUUUACUAACAUCCUCUAAUAUGUAGUGGGAAUAAUAACUAAUGGUACGGCAAUUGCUAAAGACAAAAAGCUGUGAGUCAUUUUUAGUUAUUCUACUUCUUUGACUCCUUCUAUCCGAUUCAUCAUCAGGUUAUUGAAUUUCUACCUCCAAAAUCUACCACAAAUCCUUGCAUGUCUUCCCAUUCUUAUACCAGCUUUUGCCCAGACAACAACUAAACACUUAACCGGUGUGUAAGCUUUCACACAUGCCCUAUUGGAAAUAACAAUUUUAAUUUGCUUUGUCUCUCUUUCCCUUCGCCUAUUCAUGCAUUCAACUAUUCAUAUAUUAACAUUUUAUCUGGCUCUUAUUACAUUUCAAGGUUCCCAAAAGACAGAAAGUUUGUCUUUUCAUUUAGCAUUUUAUACCCAUACCUAUUGUCAUGCUUGUUAAGUAUAAAACUUACUAAAUAUAUGUUGAAACAAUUACUCCUAAAAAUAUGUUCCUCACCUCAGGAAUAG